rnacentral:rRNA from 1 species
AUGAACGCUGGCGGCGUGCCUAAUACAUGCAAGUCGAGCGAACAGAUGAGGAGCUUGCUCCUCUGACGUUAGCGGCGGACGGGUGAGUAACACGUGAAUAACCUACCUAUAAGACUGGGAUAACUUCGGGAAACCGGAGCUAAUACCGGAUAAUAUAUUGAACCGCAUGGUUCCAUAGUGAAAGACGGUUUUGCUGUCACUUAUAGAUGGAUCCGCGCCGCAUUAGCUAGUUGGUAAGGUAACGGCUUACCAAGGCAACGAUGCGUAGCCGACCUGAGAGGGUGAUCGGCCACACUGGAACUGAAACACGGUCCAGACUCCUACGGGAGGCAGCAAUAGGGAAUCUUCCGCAAUGGGCGAAAGCCUGACGGAGCAACGCCGCGUGAGUGAUGAAGGUCUUCGGAUCGUAAAACUCUGUUAUUAGGGAAGAACAAAUGUGUAAGUAACUAUGCACGUCUUGACGGUACCUAAUCAGAAAGCCACGGCUAACUACGUG